UACGUAGGGUGCGAGCGUUGUCCGGAUUUAUUGGGCGUAAAGAGCUCGUAGGCGGUUUGUCGCGUCGGCCGUGAAAUCUCCACGCUUAACGUGGAGCGUGCGGUCGAUACGGGCAGACUUGAGUUCGGUAGGGGAGACUGGAAUUCCUGGUGUAGCGGUGAAAUGCGCAGAUAUCAGGAAGAACACCCGUGGCGAAGGCGGCUUUCUGGGACGGUACUGACGCUGAGACGCGAAAGCGUGGGGAGCGAACAGG
rnacentral:rRNA from 1 species